AUUGAACGCUGGCGGCAUGCCUUACACAUGCAAGUCGAACGGCAGCAUGGGUGCUUGCACCUGAUGGCGAGUGGCGAACGGGUGAGUAAUGCAUCGGAACGUACCCGGAAGUGGGGGAUAACGUAGCGAAAGUUACGCUAAUACCGCAUAUUCUGUGAGCAGGAAAGCGGGGGAUCGCAAGACCUCGCGCUUCCGGAGCGGCCGAUGUCGGAUUAGCUAGUUGGCGGGGUAAAGGCCCACCAAGGCAACGAUCCGUAGCGGGUCUGAGAGGAUGAUCCGCCACACUGGGACUGAGACACGGCCCAGACUCCUACGGGAGGCAGCAGUGGGGAAUCUUGCGCAAUGGGGGAAACCCUGACGCAGCAACGCCGCGUGAGUGAGGAAGGCCUUCGGUCGUAAAGCGUCUGUCAGAUGGGAAGGAAAUGGGUGGGGCGUAAUAUCGCCCAUCCUUGACGGUACCAUCACGAGGAAGCACCGGCGUAACUCCGUACGCC
rnacentral:rRNA from 1 species